CCUACGGGGGGCUGCAGUGAGGAAUAUUGGUCAAUGGCCGCAGGGCUGAACCAGCCAAGUCGCGUGAGGGAUGACGGUCCUAUGGAUUGUAAACCUCUUUUGUCAGGGAGCAAAGGGCGCCACGUGUGGCGUUUUGCGAGUACCUGAAGAAAAAGCAUCGGCUAACUCCGUGCCAGCAGCCGAGGUAAUACGGAGGAUGCGAGCGUUAUCCGGAUUUAUUGGGUUUAAAGGGUGCGCAGGCGGAAUGUCAAGUCAGCGGUAAAAUUUCGGGGCUCAACCCCGUCGUGCCGUUGAAACUGGCGAACUAGAGUGCGGGAGGGGUAAGCAGAAUUCCAAGUGUAGCGGUGAAAUGCGUAGAUAUUAGGAGGAACACCGGUGGCGAAGGCGGCUUACUGGACCGUAACUGACGUUGAGGCUCGAAAGCGUGGGGAGCAAACAGGAUUAGAUACCCCGGUAGUC
rnacentral:rRNA from 1 species